rnacentral:rRNA from 1 species
GACGAACGCUGGCGGCGUGCCUAAUACAUGCAAGUAGAACGCUGAAGGAGGAGCUUGCUUCUCUGGAUGAGUUGCGAACGGGUGAGUAACGCGUAGGUAACCUGCCUGGUAGCGGGGGAUAACUAUUGGAAACGAUAGCUAAUACCGCAUAAGAGUAGAUGUUGCAUGACAUUUGCUUAAAAGGUGCAAUUGCAUCACUACCAGAUGGACCUGCGUUGUAUUAGCUAGUUGGUGAGGUAACGGCUCACCAAGACAACGAUACAUAGCCGACCUGAGAGGGUGAUCGGCCACACUGGGACUGAGACACGGCCCAGACUCCUACGGGAGGCAGCAGUAGGGAAUCUUCGGCAAUGGACGGAAGUCUGACCGAGCAACGCCGCGUGAGUGAAGAAGGUUUUCGGAUCGUAAAGCUCUGUUGUAAGAGAAGAACGAGUGUGAGAGUGGAAAGUUCACACUGUGACGGUAUCUUACCAGAAAGGGACGGCUAACUACGUG